CUGAAAAAGCGGGACAAUAUUUCAAAUAUCCAAAAUUACCCUUCCAUUAAUCACAAAUUUACACGUCAUAUUUCUCGCUUCGUAGCGUAUUUUUAAGCAAAACUAAGGGACCUAUUUAUGUCUUUUCACAAGGUUACUUAUUUAUUGCAUGGCGGUUGCGGUUAGUCGCCGUUGCCAACUUCUGACUCGUUUUCAAAAUUUCCAUUUUUUUUCCAAAAAAUAAAAAAAUAAAAAUUCAAAGCUACCAGAGAAUCCUAACAGCGUCGGAUCGUUGUAUCAUCAUUCAUCGGUCAUAGUAAAGAGAAUCUUACAAUUGUUUCGAUUUCGAGCCGCCAGAUUCGUUCAUCGCGGGAAUUUUCUUCUUUGCGCAAUUCUUAAUCUAAUUAAGGAAACUGCAGAAGGAUUUUUGUUAAUCUAAGAAAGGUUUAAUUUUGACAAAUGAAUGUGGUUGGCAAAGUUGGGAGUUUAAUUUCACAAGGUGUAUAUUCUGUUGCUACUCCUUUCCAUCCUUUCGGUGGAGCGGUUGAUAUAAUUGUUGUUCGGCAACCAGAUGGGACUUUUCGGAGCACGCCUUGGUAUGUUCGGUUUGGGAAGUUUCAGGGUGUCUUGAAAGGGGCUGAGAAGGUCGUUCGUAUAACUGUUAAUGGCAUUGAAGCAGAUUUUCAUAUGUAUCUUGAUAACUCUGGGCAAGCAUAUUUUUUAAAGGAGGUUGAAUCUGGUAAAGGAUUUGAGACAAAUGGAGAUUUGAAGGAUUCUGAUGGUGAAGUUGUUUCAGAUUCCUGGGUGGCUCAAUUGAGGGAUGAAUGUGAUGCCACAAAUCAAAAACAGCUUGAAAGGGCAGAAUCUGAUACUCGGUUCUAUGAUUUUCAAGAUGAUCAGUUUUCUCAAGAGGGUCUGGUUAAUUUUUCAGAAUAUGGGUCCAACCGAUAUGAGGGUUUAGAUAGUGAGUGUUUUGGGGAAGCAAAAGGUUUAGAUUCAGUUGUCUUCUUCAGUGAGGAUGGCCCUAUUCUUACUGCCCCUGUUUUGGCAUCAGACAGGAGUGCUGAAAAUGUGCAACUAAGCACACCUCUGUUCCAUAUAGGAGCAGGUGAAGGGCCUGACUCUUGUGACGGUAAUGGGGAAUUUAGUCCAGGUGGCAAUGAAUCAGAUGCUGACUAUAUAGGUAAGCUCAAUGCUGCGGCACCUAAGAAUUCCUCUGAUAUUGUUUGCAGCUUGGACAAUGAUUCUACUGCUUUGAGACACCAUCUAGAAGUUUGUGAAAAAGGGGGGGAACAUGCUUGUCAAACUGAAGAAACUCGAAACCUUUUCAAGCAUGAAAAUGAAUUUAUCAGGCAAAGUUACAGUGAAGAUGCAUCCGUGCAUAUUAAGGAUGAUGUUUUUAAGAGCUGUCUUGAACUAUCUGAAUUGGGCAGACACGAUGAGAACACCAAUUCUGAAGAAAUAGAUAGCCCACUGCAAGCUCAGAUUUCACAAGAUAAGCCUUCUUGCAGCCCCCCAGAAGUUGGUGAAACUGAAAAUGGAGCUAUUGGUGGCUCCAGAAAUAAAGAUGUGUUGUCUUCCUCUUGUAGUCCCAAUUAUUCCAAUGAAAAUGGGUCUCCUGAUUUACCAGUUGAAAAGACAAUGUUGGCUACAGAUAAUAUGGGUUCUAACAAUGCAUCUGUUGAUUUGGUUGUUAAUGACCCUGAAUUGAGAGAUGAACAGUUCAAUACUUCAGCAGCAACUGAAGGGACGAAUAGCAGUCUGCAAAGUCCUCCACCUGAGGACAAGAGUAGCAUAAGUGAGACUGUGGAAACUGAAACAAGUUGUGCUAAAGAGAUAGAUGUUCGUGCUAGCCUGGGAUUUGAGAUCUCACUCUGUGGCAAUGAACUUUAUGUGGGUAUGGGUUCAGAUGCUGCAGCAGAAGUCUUUGAAUCACAUCGGAUAUCAAUGGAGGAAUACAAAAAUAAUGCAAUGUCAAUUAUUAAGAAUACAAACCUAAUCAUCCGAUUUGGAGAGAUGUAUUUCACAUGGGAAAAAGCUGCUCCUGUUGUUCUCGGAAUGGCUGCAUUUGGUUUAGAGUUAGCUAUUGAGCCCCAGGAUGCAAUCCCUGUUGAAAAGGAUGAGUCAUCAAAGCCUAAGGGUGGUGCUUCUGGUGUCACUUCUGCACCUUCUGGCCGCAGAUGGAGGCUUUGGUCUAUUCCCUUAAAAAGGGUCAAAACACUUGAGAAGACCGGUAGCAAUUUAUCUAGUGAAGAGGUAUUUCUUGAUACUGAAUCUUCUCUACAAAAUUCACCAGAAGAUUUAAUUCCAACAUCCAGUGGAAGGAUUGAAUCUCCUGGCAAACAAUUUGUGAGGACAAAUAUUCCCACCAACGAGCAGAUUGCUUCCUUGAAUCUGAAAAAUGGUCAAAAUAUGAUUACUUUCAGUUUCUCCUCCAGGGUUCUGGGAAUACAACAGGUUGAAGCUCAUCUUUACUUGUGGAAAUGGAUCGCAAAGAUUGUAAUUUCAGAUGUGGAUGGAACUAUUACCAAGUCUGAUGUCUUAGGCCAGUUUAUGCCUUUAGUUGGAAGGGAUUGGACACAAUCUGGUGUAGCUAAUCUUUUCUCAGCUAUUAAGGGGAACGGGUAUCAGCUUCUAUUUCUCAGUGCACGUGCAAUUGUUCAGGCAUAUCUAACCAGAAGUUUCUUACUUAACCUGAAACAGGAUGGAAAAGCUUUACCCUCUGGACCUGUUGUUAUUUCUCCUGACGGUUUGUUUCCCUCAUUGUACCGUGAGGUGAUAAGAAGAACACCUCAUGAAUUCAAAAUAGCUUGUUUAAAGAAUAUCAGGAAGCUUUUCCCUUCGGACUACAAUCCAUUUUAUGCAGGCUUUGGAAACAGAGACACAGAUGAACUCAGUUAUAAAGAAAUUGGCAUCCCAAAGGGAAAAAGAUUUAUUAUUAAUCCAAAGGGUGAGGUGGCUGUAAGUUAUUGUAUGAACACGAGGUCAUACACAUCAUUGCAUACUCUUGUAGAAGAGAUGUUUCCACCAACCUCAUCCAUUGAACCGGAAGAUUAUAACGAAUGGAAUUUUUGGAAAGUGCCAUUGCAAGAUAUGGAGUAACAUAGUUGAUUGCCUAAAGAAUACGGUUUAGUUAUACCAAGGAGAUGAUCAGUAGCUUAAUUUGUCCCAUAGAUAUCAGGUUGGAGUUGUAAUUGCAACUUUGAGUCAUUGUAACAGUGGCUCGGUUGGAAAGCCUGAGAAGGGCAUGAUGCAGCCAUGCCCCCAUGCAGACGCAGGCUGGCAUGAGAGUUAAAAAGGGAAAAAGCUAAUUGCCCUUCAGAAAGUGAGAACUGUGGUGUACAUGAACAAAGCUUAGGGUGCUCAGACCAGCAUCACGUGAUCACCUCUGCUUCAUUUCUUGCAGUAAAUUCGACUUUACCCGUAUUUCAGAGCAGUGACUUGGGUUUUGGAUAUGGGAUCCUUCUUUCGCAUCUUUAUCAAUAUUGUUUCAUUUCUCAUCAUUUUACCCCUUGGUUAAGAUUUACAUCUCAAAACUCUUAUUCACUACUAGAUAUUAUUACCAAUCAGCAAAAGAUUGACCCCAAUCACAAGGUGACAAUAUAAUAAAAUAUCAGUCUAUGUUAAAUCCAAGCUGUUACUUAAGACAGCUAAUUAUUAUAUUUUCUUUGUUCAUUUCUCCUAUAAUUUGUUGCUCUUAGGUUAGGUCUUAGCUGAUGUGAUACAAAAACACUAGGAAUCUAGGUGCAAUGUUCUUAUUGAAUAUUGCGGCUGGUCUUGGAUCAGUGUUGUAGAAUUUGGACAAAGCUCAAAAGUAAACAGUUACUACAAGAGGAGACAAGCUAAAAAAAAGAAACCCUCGAGCCUUGGGAUAAACCGCAUCCCAACACCAAAAUAUUGGAGCUUAUACUCGUUUUCCUUUUUUUGGGGGGAUGACUCUAGUUUAUGUUUGUUUUUAGUGAGGUCAACAGCUGCAUUCAACGUAUGCAUAGCCCCCAUAGGCAUAGCAAUAACUUAUUGCAGACAUUGGCAUCUACCUUGUGAACCACCGUUCAUUUUUAUCCAAAAAGCUGAGAAGUUUAUGGAUCUACACAAAGCAACAAGUCUGGCAUAUAUAUAACUAGUAUUUAGUUUUAUAAUCAAGAAAUUCUGCAUUUUCCAAUGUACAGGAAAAAACCAUAUAAUUUAAGAGUACAGGUUUGCAUGUAAUGAAGUAUGAACUAAGAAGAUUAUGGUCUGGUAAGGGAAUUUGUAUAUAUAUGUAUAUGUAGUCAAACUAAGAGAGACUGGCAGCAGAUGGCUGAAUACUUGUGAAUUCCCAAGUGGAUACACUAUAUCAUGCAUAUUGUAAUUUCAAAUAAGAUUCCAUGUCAGUAAUUUUUUUA